AAUAUUGCACAAUGGAGGAAACUCUGAUGCAGCGACGCCGCGUGAGUGAUGAAGGCUUUCGAGUCGUAAAACUCUGUCCUAGGGGACGAUAAUGACUGUACCCUAGGAGGAAGCCCCGGCUAACUACGUGCCAUCAGCCGCGGGAAUACGUAGGGGGCGAGCGUUGUUCGGAAUUAUUGGGCGUAAAGGGUGCGUAGGCGGCCUUUUAAGUCAGAUGUGAAAGGCUAGGGCUUAACCGUAGUUAGCAUUUGAAACUAAAAGGCUUGAGUGCAGGAGAGGAGAGUGGAAUUCCUAGUGUAGCGGUGAAAUGCGUAGAUAUUAGGAGGAACACCAGUGGCGAAGGCGACUCUCUGGACUGCAACUGACGCUGAGGCACGAAAGCGUGGGGAGCGAACA
rnacentral:rRNA from 1 species